CUGACUCAGCCAGGAACCGGCACUUCAGCAUGUGCACUUUCUGGGACAGAAGCCCUGGACCCCCGCUGCCAUUUGAGCCUGCCUAGCCAUAAAACCUUGGAGGCCGGUCGUGUGGAGGUAGGGUCGUUCAUGGGUGGAGGCACGGUGAGGUAGGAGCGGCAGUGAGCCCGUGAGCCCCUUCCUCCAGCCCGUUUCCCCCAGAACGUUGCGGGGCGGGCGGCCCAGCCCCUCCCCCAGUCGGGCUCGGCAGUUCGGAUGCCGCUGUCUCUUUGCCCAGGAGUCCCGGCGCGCUGCGGGGCUGGGAGUCGGGUUCCGUGAGGAGCGCGCGCUGCGCCCUCCCCCUCCCGCCGGGUCUCCGCAGCGGCGCGGGGAGGCGGGGGCUAAAAAUACCCGGCGGCGGCGGCAGCGGCGGUGGCUCUGGGGCUGCGGGGCUGCGGGCCUGGGAAGCAGUGCGGGCCGGGCUGGGCCGGCUCACCGACAUGCUGACCUUCUUCUUGGUGUCGGGGGGUUCUCUCUGGCUGUUUGCCGAGAUUGCUCUCUCACUUCUGGAGAAGAUGCAGACCCAGGAGAUCCUGAGGAUCCUGCGGCUGCCCGAGCUAUCGGACUUGGGCCAGUUUUUCCGCAGCCUCUCAGCUACCACCCUCGUGAGUGUGGGUGCACUGGCUGCCGUCCUUGCCUACUGGCUCACUCACCGGCCAAAGGCCUUGCAACCACCAUGCAACCUCCUGAAGCAGUCGGAAGAAGUGGAGGACGGUGGUGGAGCCCGGCGAUCUGUGAUUGGGGGUUGCACUCAAUUGCUUACCCAUUACUAUGACGAUGCCCGGACCAUGUACCAGGUGUUCCGCCGUGGGCUUAGCAUCUCAGGGAAUGGACCCUGUCUUGGCUUCCGGAAGCCAGAGCAACCUUACCAGUGGCUGUCCUACCAAGAGGUGGCCAAAAGGGCUGAAUUUCUGGGGUCGGGGCUUCUCCAGCACGACUGUAAAGUGGGCACAGAGCAGUUCGUUGGUGUUUUUGCACAAAAUCGGCCGGAGUGGAUCAUUGCCGAGCUGGCCUGCUACACGUAUUCCAUGGUGGUGGUACCGCUCUACGACACCCUGGGCCCAGGGUCUAUCAGCUACAUCAUCAAUACUGCGGACAUUUGCACGGUAAUCGUCGAUAAACCCCACAAGGCAACACUUCUGCUGGAACACGUGGAGAGGAAGGAGACUCCGGGCCUCAAGCUGGUCAUCCUCAUGGAGCCGUUUGAGGACGCCCUGAGAGAGAGAGGAAAGAAGUGCGGGGUGGACAUCAAGUCCAUGCAGGCUAUAGAGGACUGUGGCCGAGAGAAUCAUCAUGCCCCCGUGCCCCCACGGCCUGAUGACCUCUCCAUCGUGUGUUUCACAAGUGGUACAACAGGGAACCCCAAAGGUGCAAUGCUCACCCACGGGAACGUGGUGGCCGAUUUCUCGGGCUUUCUGAAAGUGACAGAGAUAACCUACACCCACUGGCGCUGCGACCUAACACUUGGCUUCCCAUGCUGCCUCUCUCUCUCCCUCUCUCUCCCUCCCUCCCUCCCUCCUCCACCUCUCCUCCCCACCUCCUCCUCUCUCUCAUCAUUUUCCCCUCUCUUCUCACCUCUCUCUGUCCUCCCCCCUUUCCCCUCCCCCUUCCCCAGGCCAUUUUUUUUCUCUUUAUUGUUUGAUGACUCUCUCGUUGUCUUCCUGUCAGUGUUUCUUUCCUUUCUGUCUCCCAUGCCCGUCACCUGCAGAAAGUGAUCUUUCCGAGACAGGACGAUGUGCUCAUCUCCUUCCUGCCUCUGGCUCACAUGUUUGAGAGAGUGAUCCAGUCUGUUGUCUACUGCCACGGAGGGCGCGUGGGCUUCUUCCAGGGAGACAUCCGCCUCCUCUCAGAUGACAUGAAGGCUCUCCGCCCUACCAUCUUCCCUGUGGUCCCACGGCUGCUGAAUCGGAUGUAUGACAAGAUCUUCCACCAGGCAGACACCUCACUAAAGCGCUGGCUCCUGGAGUUUGCAGCAAAGCGCAAGCAGGCAGAGGUCCGGAGCGGAAUCAUCAGAAACAAUAGUAUCUGGGAUGAACUCUUCUUUAAUAAGAUUCAGGCCAGUCUUGGUGGGCAUGUGAGGAUGAUUGUCACUGGAGCAGCCCCCGCGUCACCAACGGUUCUGGGAUUCCUACGAGCAGCUCUGGGGUGCCAGGUCUAUGAAGGUUAUGGGCAAACUGAAUGCACAGCUGGGUGUACCUUCACAACGCCAGGGGACUGGACAUCAGGGCAUGUAGGGGCACCUCUGCCCUGCAACCACAUCAAGCUGGUCGAUGCAGAGGAACUCAACUACUGGACCUGCAAAGGAGAAGGAGAGAUAUGUGUGAAAGGACCAAAUGUGUUCAAAGGCUACUUAAAAGACGAGGACAGGACAAAGGAGGCCCUGGACAGCGACGGCUGGCUUCACACUGGAGACAUUGGGAAAUGGCUGCCGGAGGGAACACUCAAAAUCAUUGAUCGGAAAAAGCACAUAUUUAAACUUGCUCAGGGGGAAUAUGUUGCGCCAGAGAAGAUCGAGAACAUCUACAUCCGGAGUGAGCCUGUGGCACAAAUCUACGUCCACGGGGACAGCUUAAAGGCCUUUUUGGUUGGCAUUGUCGUGCCUGACCCUGAAGUCAUGCCUUCCUGGGCUCAGAAGAAAGGAAUCGAAGGGACCUAUCAGGAACUCUGCAUGAAAAAGGAAUUGAAGAAAGCCAUUCUGGAUGACAUGGUGAUGCUGGGGAAAGAAAGCGGACUGCAUUCUUUUGAACAGGUUAAAGCCAUUUACAUCCAUUGUGACAUGUUCUCUGUUCAAAAUGGUCUGCUGACACCAACACUAAAGGCUAAGAGACCGGAGCUGAGAGAGUACUUCAAAAAGCAAAUAGAAGAGCUUUACUUAGUCUCCGUGUGAAGCUCCAGGAGGGCCCGUCUCAGUCCGAUGAACUUUGCAGCAAUAUUAUAGUUAUUCGUGAGAGAAAGGAAUCAGAAUGCCACAGCUCAAAGUGAACAAGCACCUGAUUUUUGCAACUGAGCCUUUCCUGACCCAAGAAGUCUCUAACAAUAUUUUCUCUACCAUCACCAAGUACACUUUAUUUUUAUUAAAUGAUAUUGUAGCAAGCUGCUAAAAAAAAUUAUCGCAAACGGUAAUGUAAAAACAAAUCAAGACACUUUCUGAAGAACUGUGUACCACUAAAAGUAAUAUAUUCGCAAUGUUCACAGAAUUCCAUUAAACAUAAAGAAAAAACAUAACUGAUAUAUUGUACUUAAUUAUUUGUGGAGUAAUAACCAGGUACAGUGAAAGUCUAGGCAAUGUGGACUACCUCAUUAAAUAACUGAUUGUCAACCAUCACAGUUAGAUCAGACCUAGAACUUAAAGCAAGCUGUAGGAAGCCACGCCAAAACAAAACCCGAUAGUUCCCAUGUGACCUGACUCCUCUGCUCUAAUGCGAGCACCUUUGCCGGUACGAAAACCUUCUCACUGAUUCUAACUGUUACUCCUGAAAAGUGGAAAUGCAGCUGUCCUUACAGCAAAUAUCAUAUCUAUCUAACAACCCCCAUAGGUCUUUCAGUAAUCUGCUCAUUUAUCGAGCUCACCGAAGUAUUCAGAAUCUAUGCACAGAAGAAUAGGUGGGGGUUGCGUUUAUUUGCCUACUUCUUACCAUAGGGAAGCUUAAAAGAUGUUUGUUGACUGCGGCAAAUGGACUCUUGGCAAACAUUUAGGGGAAGCUACUCAGUGGUGUCUCAGGGCCCAACAGCUCACGCACCCAUGUUUCUGCUACAGUCCUUGCCUUUUCCAUUCUCAGUAUGUCUGUCCGGGUCUGGGAGACGCAAUAUGGCGGAAAUUGUGAACAACCUCGAUUUCUUUUCAAAUGAUAUCACAGCAAAUGUGAGAGGAAUAGCUGAUAAUUCCAAAUAAAAGAACGUCUUCAAAAUUUCCCUAGAAAACGAUGGAAGUCCAACAUAGAAGAAUCCCUGCUAACGGCAUGAUUCCAUUCCUAGAACCUCCAGAUGCUCCUAAUGGACCAUAAAACCUUAAUUGUAUCAUAUGUUUAGUUGCACCCUAAAUCUGGGUGCCAAGAUUCUGAUGUCACCAAAAAGCCUCGAUACCAUGGGCAGUGCAGCUCAAGUCCGCACUAUAAAUUGUGCACCCAAGGAGGGCAAGGUCCUCAGGGAAGUGUUUCUCUUCUGUGGGAACAGGACUCUGAAAGUACAUAGAGAACUCAUGCAGGUCGCACGAUCUUCCCUAACACAUCUAUGAUCAGGGUGGCCAGGACAAGGAACUCCCUAGCUCUGAGGGAAAUCCAAUUUAUUUGUAAGUUCCCAGUUCGAACCUGCAUCAUCACACAGGCCUGUUGGAUGGUCCCAACAUAUAUGUGAGUGAAUGUUCUCAGUCAGAACCUGAGUUAUCCAUCACGCAGGCCUGUGGGAUGGUCUGCAUCAUUGAUCACACACCUGUUUCAGUCAUGUUGCGUCAUGACCUCAGCUUCAAUUGACAUAGUUAUUCAGGUAUUUUUUUUUUUACACAUUCCUUGGGCAUCAUCUUUCUGAAGACUCACUGUUGCACCUAUUAAUCUGACAUUGACUAAAUGAGCAAUUCUGGGCACAUUAAUUUCUUUCACAGUAUGGAGGAGCAACACCAGGGCCUUGCACAUGCAAGGCAAGUAGUGUUCUGCUAAGCUCCACUCCCAGCCCUGUUUGUGUUAAACUUGAAAUACAUUUCUGGCAAGACAAAUAACACAUUGAAAGCCACACCUGAAGAGCACUGGCUUUUUAAAUGUUUAAUGUAUGUUCGAUCAGUUAAAAUUGAACAUCAUUACCUGAAUUAGAUUAUCUAUAUUAUUUUAAGGGCAAGGAGUUUUGCAUUCCAAAUUUUAAAAUCUGUUUUUCAUUGUCCUUCUACUUGACUAUAACCCCAUAGUUGGCUUUCCAUUUACGUGUCUCUGUAGUUAGGUAUGACUAACUAUAAACAAGCUUUGCUUGUAUGUUUCUAUUGAACUUCAAGAUCUGUGUGGAAACCAUCACACUUAAUGGGAGGGUACAAAUGUGCUCAGAAAGUAAACAGUGGCCCUUAAAUGCAUCUUGUGUCCUCUUCCUCCUCUGCAGAGCACUACCCACUACAAGAAAGAAAUGAAAGGGCAUGAAUUGCUUCAGACUUCCCAACUUUAUCUCAGGGGAUGAAAAAUAAGUUUUGUGUUUCUCGUUAAUCGAUAUAGGAAAAAGGCUAGGCACUUAAGACUUGUCCUGAUCCAGUGGCCACCAUAUACUGAUAAAAGUCUAAAGACCAUGGAGACUUGGUUCCUUAAUCUUAAAUACAUUCUUCAAUGUUUGGCAUUUUUAUCUAUUUGUUACUCAAAUGUGUUGCUAAUUCUCCCAUUUUUUCUUUUGACAAAUUAAGCCUGUUGGAGUAAGCUAUAAAACAGACAUAUACAUUUCCCCCCACUUGCUACAAAAGAUGUCUUUAGACAUAGUAUUGAGACCUCCCCUCCAGAUGACAGGUUUGGCCAGGUGUGGUAUGGAGGCUUAGGUCCAUGUACUAGGAUCUCAAACUCAGAGGUCCAAGGAGUAGCCAUACCCUGCCUUCCUCACAAGUCUAAGGGGAAAAAAUUCUCUACUGGGAGUUUUAUAGUCAGGUAAUGUUUUAGCCAUUUGAAGUCAGCACUUAGAGUUAGAUUGCAUUGCCCUUGAGAGAACCAAUGAUUAUUCAUUUCUCUGCCAUAAUAAAUGAAUUGUUCUUUAUUUUUCACAUGUAUUAAGCACAGGUCUGAUGCAAUUAUUUAAGGUAUAAAAUACUAGAAAAUGAAAUGUAAAGAAUGGGAAAUUAUAUUUUUUGCAUGAAAAUAGACUGCUUACAAAUUUGCUUAAUAUCUCAGGACAAAAGAAUGAACAGUUGUAUGUAAAAUUGAUAAAUAAGUUGUAUUUUCUUUACAGUUUUUAUUUUAAGAAAACCCUACAAUGGGGAAGGGGGCUGAUAGUUUUAGGGUCUCUCUUAAGUAUGCUACAUAAUCCUGCCUGUGAAUCUACAAAUCCUCCCAUGAGAAUGAGACCAGCUCCAUGUGAGGACCAGUCCCUGAACGAGAUCCUCUUCACUGAGAACACAUUAGUGGUUGUACUGCAGAGGCGAUGAAUACUCGUAAGAAAGCGUUUCUAAACCUAGUCCCAGACAUCAAGGGUUUUCACAAGGUAACAAUGCCACGGAAGCACUCAUCUCUCCACUCAUUUUACGUUUCUUUGUUAAAUCAUUGCAAUGAUUGCAUGGGGAAGGGGAAAUGGCUAUUUUUUUGAAGAAUUGCUUAUCCUACUUUCAAUUUUUGAAAAUCAAGGAAUUAAAAUAUUACUUUUUAAAUAUGCAUAGAUGUAUCUUAACUGUAAUUAUAUUUUCAUUUGCUUUGUUAUAACAGCAUGAACAGCAAAUACAAAAUGCACUUACAGAAACUUUUGUAAAAAAUAAAGAUUUUUUUUAUUUCUCAAAA